rnacentral:rRNA from 1 species
AUUGAACGCUGGCGGCAUGCCUUACACAUGCAAGUCGAACGGUAACAGGUUAAGCUGACGAGUGGCGAACGGGUGAGUAAUGUAUCGGAACGUGCCCAGUCGUGGGGGAUAACUGCUCGAAAGAGCAGCUAAUACCGCAUACGACCUGAGGGUGAAAGCGGGGGAUCGCAAGACCUGGCGCGAUUGGAGCGGCCGAUAUCAGAUUAGGUAGUUGGUGAGGUAAAGGCUCACCAAGCCGACGAUCUGUAGCUGGUCUGAGAGGACGACCAGCCACACUGGGACUGAGACACGGCCCAGACUCCUACGGGAGGCAGCAGUGGGGAAUUUUGGACAAUGGGCGCAAGCCUGAUCCAGCCAUGCCGCGUGCGGGAAGAAGGCCUUCGGGUUGUAAACCGCUUUUGUCAGGGAAGAAAAGGUUCUGGCUAAUACCUGGGACUCAUGACGGUACCUGAAGAAUAAGCACCGGCUAACUACGUG